rnacentral:lncRNA from 10 species
UGGCACUGGACCUUAAAAGAUGAGAAGAACUGGGCUUGAAGGAGGGAAUGGCUCUGGUUCAGGGCACAAGGAAUGGUAGAGCAAAGUGUCAUGGCUGCCAGCCCCUGGAGGCCUAAUCGAAAUUCGACGGGAGCCUGUCACCACUCAGCCACAUAGCAGAACAACAGCCACAGCCACUGCAUCAGCACAGCACUCAACAGUGUAAAAGACUUUUCUCCCAUUUUCCCACCACAGGCCCCUUCCAUCACUCACUGAUGGAGGGAAGGCAAGGACUCCAUUAUUCCUGCUUAGCAGAUGAGGAAACUGAAGCACUGCAAAGGUGAUUUCCACUCUCCCAACCCCUGCGCUCCACACAUCAACCCCCAGCACAAGGGUACUCUAGGACAGGGACCAAGAAGCCUACUGAGCCUUGGGGAUCUGCACCCUCUUUUCUAGCCAUACCCUGCAUCCUGACAGUAACCAUCUCCUUAGUGGGUGAUAAUCUCUCAGGACUUACCAUACUAAUUUGGGAUGUGAUGGCAGCAUCCUCAUCUUGUUUCCUAUGUUAAAGGGAACGCUUCUAAAGCUUCUCCUCUACUAGUAAAUAACUACUGAGGAAAAUUAAGGCAAGUCUGAAGCCUUUUGCUGGUUACAGCUGCCUUGGACGAUGCUGUACACACGGCGGCUACUUACUGUCUAGUUUAUGGUCACUGUCAUGAGUCACCGCCCCUCUCCUCUACCUGAAAAAGAUUCUGGUUGCUCCUCGGUGUUCUCCAUCUCAAAAGCUGAUUGUCGAAUAUUUACCGGCACACCAUUGAGCUGAUCCCUCUUCUUGGAACGUCCUUUUCUAGACUCUUCACUGUGCCCUGCUUCAAUAUUCACUUCAAGCAACAUACCAUGCAGGCAGCUUUCCCUUACUCUCCUUUGCCCCUUCCUGCAUUCAUGCCUCCUCUCUAUAAGCUCCUUAGGGGUAGCAGUCAUGUCUGAGUCUCCCUGCGUUCAUGGUGCAUAGAACUGUUCCAGGUGCUGAGUAUGUGUUCAGGGAAUGUUCGUUAAAACUGAAUGAAAUUUCUGAUACAGCUGGAAAACCUCCAUGCCUAUAGCCCCCGUGUGUCCUGGUGAGCUGGUUUGGGAGAGUUAAACCCUAGGGACAGCUAGAGCAGGAAUUAGGAAAUUUUCAGACUGUCUGACUGAAAAGUGGCCAGAUUUACAGCUCAGCUCAAAGAGCGCGUGCCACCAUCCUCUUUCUUGCUCAGGCUUCAGCUUUUCCCAACAUCUCUCAGCGACCCUGAAUGGCGUACAGGCUGCUAUAGGGAGUCAGUUCUCCUGCUGAGGAAAUGAUCACUCACACCACAUACCUGAACAAACAGCUGUUACAGAAACCAUUAUGCCAGAGGCAAGGAUUAUAGAAAAGUGUCCCAUUAGAUGGCAAAUGGAAAUUUGUUUUCCUUUUGCAAUAAUCUCUUAUAACAUUUAUCACUGCACAAGCAAGUUGGUACUUGAAGGAUACAUCUAGAGUCAUUCUAAAUAGAGAACUUCAGAUUUCAGGCUUCCCUGAAGGAGGAGAGGUAAAAGCCCUUUGGAAAGGAGAGCAGAGACAUGUCAAGUCCUGCCAAAAAGAUACCAGCGUGACAGAGAAAAAACAUGAGAUCUGGGGAUGAUGCCUGCCUCUCUGCUUCUCAGAGCAGAACCCAGACACACAAACACAUUUUUUUUUCUCAAGGUAUUAGCAAAAUCCUGACUUCUUAGUGGGAAAUGGGGGAGGCAGAUGAGAUUAGCUUCUGGUUCAGGAAGGAAGGCUACCUUUUGGACAAGUUUUUGUGAAGACUCUGUACCCUCACAAAGGGCAAAGAAUGGCUGGCUUCAGAGAUCCAUAGGAAGGAGCAUACAAAAAAGAGAAAGAGAAAAUAUAGCCUAGUGUCCCUCUGACUGAGGCAAGAAGAGUACUGCUAAAGUCCCCACUCAAAGCUCAAGACAGCCUAAGGCUCAGGAGAAUGGGUGAAAUAGAUUUUUGGUUUCUCUGGUCUCAAGAGAGGCUGUGGCAUCCCAGAGACCUGGGUUUUCAUUCUAGCCCGGUCAUACAUCCACUAGCUGGGUGAUUAGGGAUGAAUUAAUUGGCUUCGCUGAGCCUUAGUUUUCUCUGCUUUGUAGGCACAAUGAUAUCUUCCACACAAGAUGGUGAAAAUCAAGUAGAUGUGAUGGUGGAUUUUAUGUGUCAACCUGGCUAGGCUAUGGUGCCCUGUUUUUGAUCGAACACCUGUCUAAAUGUUGGUGUGAGGUUUAUUUUUUUCACACGUGAUUAACAUUUACAGUGAAUAGACUUUGAAUAAAGUAGAUUAUCCUCCAUAUUGUGAGUGAGUCCCAUCCACUCAUUUGAAGGCCUUAAGAGCAAAGACUAAAGUAUCCCAAAUAAGAUGGAAUUCUACUUUCUAGCCUUCAACAUAGAAACUCUGCCUGGGUUUCCAUCCUGCCGGCCUUUGCUAUGGAUUUGCCAGUCCUCACAAUCACUUUAGCCAAUUUCCUAAAGUCUCUCCCUACACACACACACACACACACACACACACACACACACACACACACACACACAUCUUGUUGGUUUUGUUUCUCUGGAGAACCCUGUGUGAUACAGUAGAUGACAAGUAUAAAGCACCUGACAUGAACCCAAGCACAGAGAUUGCACCCAAGGCAUAGUAAGGACUCUGCCACCUAAUAAAUUAUUCAUUUCUGACCAUCUUUACCAUCUAAUUUGAUAGCUUCUAAUGUUGUCUUAACUAGCUUGCCUUUGCUAAUUAUGCAGGUCAUCCAAUAGGCCCCCACCUUAAAUACUUUCAGUUUGAUUAUAGGCUCUAAUUGUACAUCUACUUCCAUGGAUCUUAAAACUGGAUGCACAUUACAAUCAUCUGGAAAGCUCUUUGAAAUUAUCAGUACCUAGACUCCAUCCUCUGAUAUUUUUAUUGAAUUGGUGUGGGAUGGAUUCAGGACAUCCAUAGAUGUUAAAAGCUCCCUGAUGACUCUAAUGUACAGCCAGUGUUGAGAGCCAGUGAUAUAGAAGAUGCCAAGGUAUACAACACUAAUUUGCCAGAAGCAAAGGCAAAUUUGACAAGGAUGCCUCCUUUCAUUCAAGCAUUCUAUUGCCAAAUAAGUGCUCUUCCCCAUCAGUGAAGGUACUACCCUCACCCAGUGCCCAAGCCAGAAUACUAGGAAUCAUCAUCAAUUCCUCUCUUUCCUUUACCCUUCUAUCCAAUUCAUCAGUGUCCAAAAAUCCUGCAUCUGCUUCCUUCUCUCCAAUUCCACUGCUCUUCCUAGUCCAAGCUCCACUAUCUCUUUCCUGGGACACUGUAUACUUCUGUACGGUCUAAAUCCAAUCAGGACGGUGAAACUAUACAGUCAUUUAAACAGGAAAGUUUAAUAUAAAGAAUUAUUAACUAGCAGUUUUGUAAGACAAAAAGAUCAAGAGAGCUCUAACACAACAAUUUGACCAUACUUAACACUACUGAAUUAUAUACUUAAAAUGGUUAAGAUGGUCAAUUUUUAGAUUAUAUGUAUUUUACUACAGUGAAAGAAGCCAGACACAGAGGAGCACAUAUUCUAGAAAUGUCCAGAAAAGGCUAAUCUAUAGAGAAAGUAGAUUAGUGGCUCUCCAGGGCUAGGGAUGGGGAUGAGUGACUUCUCAUGGGCACAAUGUUUCUUAGACUAUGGAGAUGGUUUCAUAACUUUGUAAAUUUGUUUUAAAAUCAUUGAACUGUACACUGAAAACUAGUUUUGUGGUAUGUAAAUUUUACUCUAAUAAAGCUAUUUUGUAAAAUAAUUAUUAAUUAUAACAAGUGGCUGGAUUAAUAAGGGAUUGGCUAGGAACGAGUAAAAAUAACUCUAAAGAACAUAGGAAUCACAGAUAUAAGGAACCUCUAAGAGUGUCAUAGAGUACCCAGUGAAAAACACUGUCAUGAAUAUAAAUUAGUAUAGCCACUAUGGGAAACAGUAUGGAGGUUCCUUAAAAAAAAACUAAAAAUAAAACUACCAUAUGAUCCAGCAAUCUCACUGCUUGGUAUAUAUCCAAAAGAAAGGAACUCAGUAUAUUGGAGAGAGAUCUGCACUCACAUGUUUACUGCAGCAUUAUUCACAAUAGAAUGUGAAUCAACCUAAGUGUCCAUCAAUGGAUGAAUGUAUAAAGAAAAUAUGAGAUAUAUACAUAAACACACACAUGCACACACACACAAAAUGGAAUACACUUCAGCCUUUAAAAAGAAGGAAAUCCUCUCAUUUGCCACAACCACAGAUGACCUGGAGGACAUUAUACUAAACAAAAUAAGUCAGGCACAGAAAGACAAAUACCACAUGAUCUCACAUACGUAUAGAAUCUAAAAAAGUUUAACUCACAGAAGCAGAGAGUAGAAUGGUGGUUACCAGAGGCUGGUGGAGGGUGGGGGGAAAGGGGAGAUGUUGGUCAAAGGGUAUAAAAGUUAGACAGGAGGAAUAAGUUCAGAUUUAUUGUACAACGUGGUGAUCACAGUUAAUAACAAUGUAUUGUAUACUUGAAA